rnacentral:tRNA from 7 species
GGGGUCUUAGCUCAGCUGGGAGAGCAUCUGCCUUACAAGCAGAGGGUCACAGGUUCGAGCCCUGUAGGCCCCAC